rnacentral:rRNA from 1 species
GUGCACCAGGCGCGAAUCCUCUGCAAUGCGCGCAAGCGCGACAGGGCUACCCCGAGUGCCGCCCGCUGAGGGCGGCUUUCUCCGGUGUAAUGAGUCGGAGGAAUAAGGGGAGGGCAAGCCUGGUGUCAGCCGCCGCGGUAAUACCAGCGUCCCCGAGUGGUGGGGACGGUUAUUGGGCCUAAAGCGUCCGUAGCCGGUUCGGCAAGUUCCUCCGUUAAAGCCAACGAUCCAAAUCGUUGG